AACGAACGCUGGCGGCAGGCUUAACACAUGCAAGUCGAGCGGCAGCGCGGGGCAACCUGGCGGCGAGCGGCGAACGGGUGAGUAAUGUAUCGGAACGUGUCCUGAGAUGGGGGAUAGCCCGGUGAAAACCGGAUUAAUACCGCAUACGAUCGAGAGAUGAAAGUGGGGGACCGCAAGGCCUCACGUCUUAGGAGCGGCCGAUAUCUGAUUAGCUAGUUGGUGGGGUAAAGGCCCACCAAGGCUUCGAUCAGUAGCUGGUCUGAGAGGAUGAUCAGCCACACUGGGACUGAGACACGGCCCAGACUCCUACGGGAGGCAGCAGUGGGGAAUUUUGGACAAUGGGGGCAACCCUGAUCCAGCCAUUCCGCGUGAGUGAAGAAGGCCUUCGGGUUGUAAAGCUCUUUUGUCCGGGAAGAAACGGUUUCAACUAAUACUUGAGACUACUGACGGUACCGGAAGAAUAAGGACCGGCUAACUACGUGCCAGCCGCCGCCGUAAUAC
rnacentral:rRNA from 1 species